rnacentral:rRNA from 1 species
GAUGAACUCUGGCGGCGUGCCUAAUACAUGCAAGUCGAGCGAAGCGGGGACGGGUGAGUAACACGUGGAUAACCUCCUAUAAGACUGGGAUACCUUCGGGAAACCGGAGCUAACCCGGAUACUUAUCGUUGGCUCCUCGCUGCAUUAGCUAGUUGGUAAGGUAACGGCUUACAAAGGCAACGAUGCAUAGCCGACCUGAGAGGGUGAGCGGCCACACUGGGACUGAGACACGGGCCAGACUCCUACGGGAGGCAGCAGUAGGGAAUCUUCCGAAAUGGGCGAAAGCCUGACGGAGCAACGCCGCGUGAGUGAAGAAGGUCUUCGGAUCGUAAAACUCUGUUAGUAGGGAAGCGGUACCUAAUCAGAAAGCCACGGCUAACUACGUGCCAGCAGCCGCGGUAAUAC